rnacentral:rRNA from 1 species
GAUAAACGCUGGCGGUGUGCUUUAUGCAUGCAAGUCGAACGGGCAUUAGCAAUAAUGUCAGUGGCAGACGGGUGAGCAACACGUAAGUGACCUGCCCUAAAGUGGGGAACAACUCUGAGAAAUCGGAGCUAAUACCGCAUGUGGUUCUUUUUGUAAAGGGGAAGAAUUAAAGCCGUAAGGCGCUUUAGGAGGGGCUUGCGUCCGAUUAGCUAGUUGGUGGGGUAACGGCCUACCAAGGCUACGAUCGGUAGCUGGUUUGAGAGGACGACCAGCCACACUGGGACUGAGACACGGCCCAGACUCCUACGGGAGGCAG